rnacentral:rRNA from 1 species
AACGUAGGAGGCAAGCGUUAUCCGGAGUUACUGGGCGUAAAGCGCGUGUAGGCGGCUCGGUAAGUGGGUCGUGAAAGCGCCCGGCUAAACUGGGCGAGGACGAUCGAGACUGCCAGGCUAGAGGGUGGUAGAGGGACAGGGAAUUCCGGGUGUAGCGGUGAAAUGUGUAGAGAUCCGGAGGAACACCAGUGGCGAAGGCGCUGUCCUGGGCCACCUCUGACGCUGAUACGCGAAGGCGUGGGGAGCGAACGGGAUUAGAGACCCCGGUAGUCCACGCGGUAAACGAUGCAGACUGGGUGUUCACUUUCCUAACGGGAAGGGAGUGCCGAAGCUAACGCGGUAAGUCUGCCGCCUGGGGAGUACGGUCGCAAGGCUAAA